CAAUCCGGAUUUGAUAGCCCCCCUUCGCUUCCGUUUUUAUAUUUUCCCCAUAGUUUUAUUUUCGGAUUUCUCUCGUUGCGGAAGUGGGAAAGAAUCGACAGAAGGCAGCGAGAAGAGAACACAAGAGAAGAAAAAUAGUUCUCGAGAACAAUCGGGUUUCGGUGGAUCGAUCUCGUCGUCUGUUGAAAGGGUUUCGAAAAAGAGGGGCUGCCAUGAGAUUCAAGAAGGGGAACAAGGUGGAGGUUUGGAGCCCGAGGGAGGUUCCGUCAGGCUCAUGGCGGAGUGCCGAGAUCAUCUCGGGCAAUGGGCAUUACUAUACUGUGAGAUAUGAUGGGUAUCCGAUGGACGGCAGUGUGGCAGUCGACAGAGUGCCAAGGAAAGCCAUCAGACCCUGCCCUCCACCUGCCGGAACCCUGAAGGAUUCAAUAUCUGGUGAUGUUGUUGAAGUUUUUGACAACAAUUCAUGGAAGCUCGCUGAGAUAUUGGUAGUUGUUGAUAAGAAAUACUGUUCUGUCAGGCUCCUUGGGUCCUCCAGGGAGAUCAGAGCCCACAAAUCUCUCUUAAGGAGACGGCUGUCUUGGCAAGACAACAAGUGGGUGAUGAUUCAUAAGGAUUCUGGAGUACAAAAUGGUGCAAUGCUAAGCAGUCUGUCAAGAGGAGGAAAGUCCAGUUACCACUUGCCUCAGUCAUGUGUGGAGAUAGAUAAUUCUGCUGGAAAGAGCCUUUUUCCUAUUGAAAAUUAUGAUUUUCCUGAGAAAGCUAGACGAUUCCUCUCAAGAGAAACAAAGAAAAGGCCAUUUGAUAUAUAUAUUCCUGCUGAGAAGUGCAAUGAUGUUAGAAGAAAGACAAGGGCAACCGAAAAAAAUGGGAUGGAUCAAAGAAUAUCUACCGAGCACCCAAUACAUUGUCUGGAAAAGGGUCAAAGUUGGAGGCUUCUAAGCUUUGCUUCCUUAUGUCUCUGAUGAUGGAGUUGUCAUGGCUUUUACACUUCAAACAGUGUGGCAAAACUUCCAUCUUAUUCCUAUGAAUAUAUGGAUACGUGUCUUGUCUUGCAUAGGGUGAUUGCACAAACUGGUUAUGUGAAACUGUCCUGUAUCCGGCAAAAGAAAAGGUCAACGUUCUUAAUUAUUUUAAUACUAACCAGAAUUUCAUUUUCUUAAUUAUUUUAAUACAAACCAGAAUUUCAUUUCAAGUCAGCCGUUUAAUUGUGUAUGCAUUAUUUUAAUUUAUGAAUAUUAUAUAUUUUCAUAAUCUGCAUUUUACUACCUUGAUUUUACUUUUCUCUAAACAAUUGGUUACAUAUGGUUGAAGAGUAACAUGAACAGAUAGGUGGUGAGCUUCCAACAAGUCUGCUUCUGGGAAAAACAGUCAUGAAUUUUGUAAUGGAUUAAGUCUUAUCAAAUAAUAUUUUUCUUCAAAUGACAUGCAAGUUCUUUCCACCUCUGCAUUCUUGCAAUAGUUAGCAUAAAGGAAAUUCAAUAGUUAUUAUUUUCAGCAGUUUAUAUGUUGAAACACUAUUUUCUGAAUUAAUUCUGGAACUAUUGUUUGCUUAUUCUAAUUAUUAUUUUUUUGAGGCCUCUUUGUUAACUAGGUAUCAUAGACUUUGUUGCUUCAAUUAGGGAAGAUAUCAUAAAAUGAGUUAGCCACAAACCUGGAGCAUGAUGGUGAUUGUUGGAAUCAUGCAUUUGCUGCUGGGUUGAUCAUGCAUUUGUUGCUGGGUUGAUCAACUGUUGUAGGUAUGGACUGUCGACCUAGAUUAGGAACCAAAUCAUGAGUAAUUUAUAAAUAAUGCAUCACGGAGUAUAUACAUACACCAAAAUGAAGAUGACUGAUCUCCACUAGACAAGUUGUUCUUGUAGCUACCUUAGUGGUAUAACCCAUUCUUACAGAUCCUGAUUUAAAUGUUUUUCAUGCUGACUUUUGUUAACUUGAUUUGCUGUAACCAAUAGUAACUAGUUAACAAUGUCUGCAGUUACUCAGAGAAUGCUCUUAUGACCAUUUCCAUUGCAGAGCCUGAUAUAAUUGUGCACAUAUAAUGCUAAAGUCUUUCAUUAUGGUCUGAUAACAAGGCAGUAUUUUAUGUUAACAUAUAGUAACUUGCAAGAUUAAGGAUCAUCUGCAGGUGCUCAGAACGCUGGGAGUACGCUCUAAUGCCUGAAGUUUGAAGGAAUCUGAUUUGAUUUUUGACAUAUGACAUAAAGAUGUCAUAGCAAGCACGAGGUGAACUAGUGUUGCGAUCAUGGAAAAUUGUAAUCUGCAGACCAAAAAAUCUCGACAUGCUAGUUGCUGGAGCAAAUAUGUUUGGAGUUGCACUAGCACUUGAUGGCUUCGUCUACUUGCCAAUAUCAAAUAAUAUGGUUUAUGAUCAAAUCUGAGUAGUCCUAGUUAUAAAAGCUCUAGAUGUGAAGUAUUAUUGAGUUCCUGUAGAAACCUGUUUGUAUCCAUGGGAAGUGUGCAUACAUCUAUUUCAUCCUUUUGUAGUAGACUUGAACUCUGUGGUCGAUCUAAAUCUGUGAGCUUCCAUGGAUGUGCAAUUGUAAAGGACUUCUCGGGCAUGGGAACUGCAUCUCAAAAUGAUGAAUAGUAGCUAUCUAAAUUUGUACUGUUUCUAGGUCACUGCAGUGUUCUAUGUUCUGAUUCCAGGAAUUCCAAUAUGAUUCAGGACAGUGAUGUGUUGUGGCUUUAUAUCAUUUUAUUGUGUUGGCCA